UUUAUAUUUAUAUACAUUAAUGUUUAUAAUUUUGAUAUUGUAGUUUAUUAAAAAAAAUCUUAUUAAAUUAUAAUAAUUCAUACUAAAAUAGAUAAUAAACAUUUAUCUUUUAAUAAAAAAAAAUUAACUUGUUUAUUUUUAUAAAACUAUUUAUUAAUUUUACAAAAUUAUUUAUUUUGAGUUUUAAUAAACAUAGUUUAUUAUUUAAUGAUUAAAAUGUAUGGUUUGAUACAAUAAGUUUUUAAAAUAUAUAAGUUUUUAAAAUAAUUUUUUUUGCACAUUUUUUGUAAUUAUGUUGUUUUUGUUGUACAUUUAUGAAAAAAGCCCUUUAUUUUUUUACUUGGGUUUUGAGAGAGAAAAUCAAGAUAUAUAUAUAGAGAGAAAAUUUUUGUGGGUGUGCUUCAGAGAGAGAGAGAAAACUUGAAACGGGAGCAGGCUGAUGAAGAAGUGUGGAGGCUCUCUUGGUGAAGAGAGUCCAUUCCGUGAGAAUAUUUUCAAGAAGAACAAUACAUAAGAAGAAGAAGAACAACAGACAACUCAAAUUUUCUAAGUAAAAAUAUUCUCUUUUUUUCUUUAUUUAUUUUUUCUAGAACGACAUAAACUUUACUGGGUUUUUGUUGUUUUUACUAAUUAUGUUGUUUUUUUUUUCUUUUUUGGGGUUGUAGUUUAGCUCUGGUUUCGUGAGUGGUGUUGUUGUAUCGUUUGAUGACUCUUAUGACUUAUUUAAUUAUUGAUUUAUUUAUUGUUUUAAUGUUGUUUUAUUGUUGUUUUCUUUCAUUUUUUUUAUCACAUUUUCUAAAUAUUAUUGUACCGCUCUAUUUUUAAUAGUAAUAGGGAAUAAUGAAAUUUGUAUAUAAGUUAUUUUCUUCAGUAUCAUAUGCUCUAAUAUAUGUUCAGUUUUCCUCUGUUGUUCUACUGUUGUUUUUUGUUGUUCUGCUUCUUUUCAUUUUUGAUGUCUUUUCCUGUAUGUUCUCUUGUUGCGCCCCAGCUCCCCACAUUUGCUGCAUUUGUUAUAUUGUUUCUUUUCCCAUCCAGCUUCAAUCCUUUUUUUUUGGUCUUUUAGAUUUCACCACUUUAAUGGAAGGUAAGACUAUUACUGUCCAUGAUUCUUUCAUUCUGGUUACCUCAAAUAAAUAUUCAGUGGUUGGUUUAACCUGUGUAAUUUAAAACCAAUAUUUGUUAAAUAUACGAAACAAUAGUGGAACAACCCAAAAACAACAUUAAAAAACCAUGACAACCCCAAUAUUAACGGUUUUAAUGUUUAUGCUUCAUCUCAACAGAUUUAAUGGUUGUUUUCUGCCUGUUCUGGUGUUGCUAUAGUGGUUUUGUCUGCGGGUGUGGAAGAUGGAGACCUCGUUUUUUAUUUUCGAUGUUUACAUUAUAAAAGAAAAAAAAAGUUCCAAGGCAGUAUAAAAGUUAUUUUUGCCGUAUGGCAGUAUUUUUGUAAAGAUUGAGUCAAAAUCCAGUAUUUUUGUAAGUUUCCCUAAACAUAUUACAUAUUAUUAUAAGUGUAUACCAUAGAUUUAAAAAAUACCUUUGUUCAUUCAAAGAGAAGAAGUCAAAUAGCGAAAGCGUACCUCAAUCCAUAUAUAGUGAUGAUCUUAAUUCAUCUUGUAGAGAUGAUUUUUGUGGUGAUUUUGAGUAAUAAUCUUCCAAAAAUAUAAGACUUAUAAAGUUUUUUAAUUUUAUCUCUUGAUGAAAGAAAAUGAAAAUAGAGUUACUCCUGUUUUUUGGGACUACUACCAAUAUAUAAUGUAUAGCUUGGUUAUUAAUUUUAAGUAUUUUUAAUUUAGCCUCUUAAUAAAUUAGAAAUACCUUUAAAGUACCCAAUAACUAUAAUUAUGAUGAAAUUUCAAAUAACAAUACACUAAUAUAAAUAUAAUCAUAUUGAUGAUUUUAAUUUAAUAUAUAUUUAUUGAUACAUUAAGUGUUAAAUAAUAUAAGUUAUCUUUAUAUAUUUAAAGUGUUUAUAUAACAUAAUGGUUUAACUAAUUUCAUUCAUUCAUUCAUUCUGUUUGAUCAAUUUCAUUCAACUUUGAGUUUAAACCACCCCUAAUUUCAUUCAUUCAUUCCCUUUGAUCAAUUUUUAAUAAUAGUUAUAUAUUUAUUUUUUAUUUUUUGUCGUCUCCAGAAUUAACUCGAUUUGUUUUGUUGUAGCUCUGAUUUGUCCAAUGGGAGAGAAGUUCAUAUAUUCAAGAGGGAAAGCUAUAUACAUUCACCCAGUUGUAUUUCAUGUUCUUAAUUGAAGUUAUCUUCAAUCCAAUGCUAAUUUUUGCAAUCUAGAUCAUUCAGUUGUGUAGACCGAACAAUCAAUAACAGAUGAAUUCUUAUGCGGCGUAGUAGACAACUCAACUUUUGCUACUUAAUUUGGAAGUUUAUAUAGCUUAAUGUUUAAAGAGCUUUUUUUGAUCGGAUGGUGGGUUUUAGAUUAGAGAGCAAAAGCAGUUUCACAUGAAGUGAAGGGUUAUCUCAAUAAUCGAAUGAAAUCAAAGGUGUGAAUCUGCAGCUAACGGCUACCCCAAAGGAUCUGUUUGAUAAUCAAAGAGGUGGAAGAUUUAGAGCUCUUAUGGCGAUAUUGGUCUCUCAUGUACUGAUACAAUAAGACCAUUGCCUAUGUUGCUUCAUGUAUGCCCGCUAUAUUCUCAGCCUAUCAUAGCGUUCCCAAGGAGGUAAUUUCUUUUAAAAACUUGAUUACUCAUCCAGGUUUCUCAUCAAAGGUCAAGUUAUGGUGCCAUGACCAUUACUGAGUUCGAAUUAUUGCUGAUAUGAUACACAUGUAAACUUUGUUGUUUGGUAAGUCUUGAUUUAUGACUGUUAGCUUUGAACAUUUUUUUGUUUCUCUACAGCUACUGAAUUUAGAGUUUUAAAUGAAAAGAAAAGAGAGUUUCAGAAUAACUCUGAUAUUGCUUAGUUUCAUAGAUCUAUCAAGAUUUGCUUAAAGUCAAUCUAUCUACAGCUACUGCUUUUUAGCUGGUGUAUAUCUCAAAUUUUAUGGGAGUUGAUUUAUUUACAUAAAAUUUAUUUAUGACUCCUACUUCUAAUUAUUCAAUUGUGAUCUAUUAUGAAGAGAAGGGUACUGAGUUUUUCUCAAUAAUUGAAUGAAAUAAAGGGCGUGAAUCUGCAGCUAACGGCUACUCCAAAGGAUCUAUUCGAUAACCCUUUGAAGUGUGUGGAACAAUCACAAGAGGUAGAAGAUUAGAGCUCUUAUAUAGAUAUUGGUCUCAUGUAUAGAAAACAAUAAGACCAUAAACAUUGGUCAGGGGGAUGAAGUACGAUAUUUGAUAUUAGUUUUUCUUUUGAAUAACUUUAUGUUAUUAAUAUUUAAGGAUAAAAAAAACUGAUCUUAUGGUAUUAUAAUUUUUUUUUUAUAUAUUUUUAAUUAUUUCUAUAAGUUUGCUCCCAUAACUACAGGGAAGAUUUAUAUUGAUUUUUUUUCAUUUGAAUUUGAUUUUUUUUAUGCAGAAGUAUAAUCUUAAAAUUAAUUAUAAGUCUUAUGGAAAAUAAAUACUUUCUGUAGUAAUAUUGCAACUUCGUCAAAAAUACCAUAGACAGAUUAUUAAUAAAAAAAAGUAGACAAUCCUUGCAGACCUGGACAGAUUAAAAAGUGUAAAA